rnacentral:lncRNA from 1 species
AUUUAUGUACAUGAUUUUUUUUUAUGAAAUUAAAGAAGCUGUAAAACUGAGAGAUUGUGGUAAAGAAAGAAAGGUUCUCAGCAUACAACACGAUUAUUAACCACAACAAAACAAAACAAUACACUGUAAAUCAUUAAAGCACUCAACAACACAACACCCAUACCUCUGACUUGUAAAACUAGAAAAACAAAACAAGCCCAUAACAUACCACUGAAACCCUAACUUUAUUACUAUAAGAAAGAAGACGAAAAAUACAUAUAUAGGUUGGGUUGUGUUGUGCUGUGGACACGAACCUUGUCAUUCAUGUCAUGUGAUGUGUGUAUGAAUAUAUAUAUUUAUGUAAUCACAGUAGGGGCAUCACGUCCUGUGAAUUCUUGCAUUUUUGACA